rnacentral:tRNA from 1 species
UAAGGUUUUAUUUCUUAUUUUGAAAAUAAGUUUAGGAUUAAUCCAAAGCCUUAG